rnacentral:rRNA from 1 species
AUGUGGUGUACAAAUUUUGGUAUGAGUUUAAAUUAUCAUGACAAGCUUUUAGCUCAUAAUCUUACAGAAUUUUUAUUAGUAUACGAAGAGGAAAUCAGAAGUUUAAGGUUCCCUUUGUUCUUGUAUAAUCUGCUCAUUUUGAUCAUUUGCAUAUUUAUAUUAGUUUUUGCUCUGUUUGGUUUACUGCAUCAUUCAGAUAAUCCACGAAUGUUAUAUGUUCUUGCGUGUUGGCGCCUUGGCGGCCUCUACCUGUUUGUUGGUAUGCUUCUAACAGCGGAGUAUGUUUUUCAAGUGUCUAUUCAAGUGGAUGACUGCUAA